rnacentral:rRNA from 1 species
GACGAACGCUGGCGGCGUGCUUAACACAUGCAAGUCGAACGAAGUGGCGAACGGGGUAGUAAUACGUGGGUAACCUGCCCUCCUUUUUGGGAUAAGCCAUGCAGACGGGGUCUAAUACCGAAGAAAGGGGGCUGGGCUCGCGGCCUAUCAGCGUGUUGGUGGGGUGAUGGCCUACCAAGGCGGGGAUGGGUAGCCGGCCUGAGAGGGGGACAGGGCACAUAGGGACUGUGAGACGGCCAAGACUAGUAAGGGAGGGAGAAGUUGGGGAUAUGGCAUCAUGGGUGAAAGCCUGAGGCAGCGAGGCUGCGUGGGGGAUGAAGGCUUUAGGGUUGUAAACCUGUGGCGCUAUAGAACGGGUAGGUGCAGAAGAAGCGCCGGCUAACUACGUGCCAGCAGCCGCGGUAAUAC